GCCUGGCUGGCUCAGUCGGUAGAGCAAGUGACUCUUGAUCUCGGAGUUGUAAGUUCAAGCCCCACGUUGGGUG
rfam:Felis catus isolate Cinnamon breed Abyssinian chromosome X, whole genome shotgun sequence.